CGUGAGUAUACCUACACUGUGGGCUUUCACCCCUCUACUAUCUUCCUACUCACUCUGCAGGAUAUCAUGUUUGUACCAGGUCUAUUUAUGUCUCCGUUAUCUGUUACUGUCAUUCUGCUAUGAAUGUCUCAUUGUCAGUGGAAUUUGUAUCUGGUCUAUUUCAUUACUGCAAACAGUUGCAAGAUCGGUACCUAACCUUUUCCACGUUCUUUUUCAGCAUAACUUCAGG